AUUGAACGCUGGCGGCAGGCCUAACACAUGCAAGUCGAGCGGAUGAGAGGAGCUUGCUUCUUGAUUCAGCGGUGGACGGGUGAGUAAUGCCUAGGAAUCUGCCUGGUAGUGGGGGACAACGUUUCGAAAGGAACGCUAAUACCGCAUACGUCCUACGGGAGAAAGCAGGGGACCUUCGGGCCUUGCGCUAUCAGAUGAGCCUAGGUCGGAUUAGCUAGUUGGUGAGGUAAUGGCUCACCAAGGCGACGAUCCGUAACUGGUCUGAGAGGAUGAUCAGUCACACUGGAACUGAGACACGGUCCAGGAUCCUACGGGAGGCAGCAGUGGGGAAUAUUGGACAAUGGGCGAAAGCCUGAUGCGGCCAUGCCGCGUGUGUGAAGAAGGUCUUCGGAUUGUAUAGCACUUUAAGUUGGGAGGAAGGGUUGUACGUUAAUACCGUGCAAUUUUGACGUUACCGACAGAAUAAGCACCGGCUAACUCUGUGCCAGCCGCCGCGGUAA
rnacentral:rRNA from 1 species